rnacentral:rRNA from 1 species
ACGCUGGCUACAGGCUUAACACAUGCAAGUCGAGGGGAAACGACGGGGAAGCUUGCUUCCUUGGGCGUCGACCGGCGCACGGGUGAGUAACGCGUAUCCAACCUGCCUCUGACUGAGGGAUAACCCGUCGAAAGUCGGCCUAAUACCUCAUGGCAUCGUCUGCGGGCAUCCAACGACGAUUAAAGAUUUCAUCGGUCAGGGAUGGGGAUGCGUCUGAUUAGCUGGUUGGCGGGGUAACGGCCCACCAAGGCUACGAUCAGUAGGGGUUCUGAGAGGAAGGUCCCCCACAUUGGAACUGAGACACGGUCCAAACUCCUACGGGAGGCAGCAGUGAGGAAUAUUGGUCAAUGGGCGAGAGCCUGAACCAGCCAAGUAGCGUGCAGGAAGACGGCCCUAUGGGUUGUAAACUGCUUUUAUGCGGGGAUAAAGUGAGGGACGUGUCCUUCAUUGCAGGUACCGCAUGAAUAAGGACCGGCUAAUUCCGUGCCAGCAGCCGCGGUAAUACGGAAGGUCCUGGCGUUAUCCGGAUUUAUUGGGUUUAAAGGGAGCGUAGGCCGUGGAUUAAGCGUGUUGUGAAAUGCAGGUGCUCAACGUCUGCACUGCAGCGCGAACUGGUCCACUUGAGUGUGCGCAACGCAGGCGGAAUUCGUCGUGUAGCGGUGAAAUGCUUAGAUAUGACGAAGAACUCCGAUUGCGAAGGCAGCUUGCGGGAGCACAACUGACGCUGAAGCUCGAAAGUGCGGGUAUCGAACAGGAUUAGAUACCCUGGUAGUCCGCACGGUAAACGAUGGAUGCCCGUUGUCAGGCUGUUUCAGCCUGGUGACCAAGCGAAAGCAUUAAGCAUCCCACCUGGGGAGUACGCCGGCAACGGUGAAACCCAAAGGAAUUGACGGGGGCCCGCACAAGCGGA